UUACGGGGCGCAGCAGGCGCGAACACUUUACAAUGCGGGAAACCGCGAUAAGGGAACCCCGAGUGCCAGCAUCAAAUGUUGGCUGUCCAGAUGAUAAAAAUCAUUUAGCACCUUAUUC
rnacentral:rRNA from 1 species